UUCAGACGAUGCGUCAUGCAUAUCAAUAAGCGGAGGAAAAGAAACUAACAAGGAUUCCCCUAGUAACGGCGAGUGAAGCGGGAAGAGCUCAAAUUUGAAAUCUUAAAGGGUUUCCCUUUACGAAUUGUAGUUUAAAGAAGUGUUUUCUGUUGAGGUUUUGGUAAAAGUUCUUUGGAAUAGGACAUCAUAGAGGGUGAGAAUCCCGUAUUUGACCUUUACUUUCAACUUUGUGAUACACUUUCAAAGAGUCGGAUUGUUUGGGAAUGCAGUCCAAAAUGGGUGGUAAAUUUCAUCUAAAGCUAAAUAUUGGCGAGAGACCGAUAGCGAACAAGUACCGUGAGGGAAAGAUGAAAAGAACUUUGAAAAGAGAGUUAAACAGUACGUGAAAUUGUCAAAAGGGAAGCGUUUGACACCAGUGUUGUUUUUCUGAAAAUCAAUUAAAGAACUGUUUUAUUGCUAAGUUGUUUAGACUUUAUCAGCUAUACUGUUUAGUUUUGAGCUUUUCUUUAAUGCACUUUUCAGUUAACAAGUCAACAUCAAUUUCUUGUGCUGUAAAAAAGCUUGAGGAAGGUGGCUUGAGAUUCGUCUUAAGUGUUUAUAGCCUCUUGCCUAUGCAGUCGGAGAGAUUGAGGUCUGCAGCGUAGAUCCUUCGGGGCUAAAUGCAUUUGUGCUAAGUUAUAGCAUUUUAUAGACAACUUGUUGACUAUGAUUUGUCUUGUAGCUUACUCGCUUAUGUUAUUUUACCUACGCUUAGGAUGUUGAGCGCAUGUCUCUCUCU
rnacentral:rRNA from 1 species